UCAAUAUCACAGGUAAGAUUCAGUCCUAUUCUAGUCUUUCUUAACUUUGAAUAUCCCGCCGGCUAUCCAAAAAAG
rnacentral:tRNA from 1 species